rnacentral:rRNA from 1 species
UACGAAGGGGGCUAGCGUUGCUCGGAAUUACUGGGCGUAAAGCGCACGUAGGCGGACUCUUAAGUCGGUGGUGAAAUCCUGGAGCUCAACUCCAGAACUGCCUUCGAUACUGGGAGUCUUGAGUCCGGGAGAGGUGAGUGGAACUGCGAGUGUAGAGGUGAAAUUCGUAGAUAUUCGCAAGAACACCAGUGGCGGAAGGCGCUCACUGGCCCGGUACUGACGCUGAGGUGCGAAAAGCGUGGGGAGCGAACAGG